rnacentral:rRNA from 1 species
GACGAACGCUGGCGGCGUGCUUAACACAUGCAAGUCGAACGGAAAGGCCCUGCUUUUGUGGGGUGCUCGAGUGGCGAACGGGUGAGUAACACGUGAGUAACCUGCCCUUGACUUUGGGAUAACUUCAGGAAACUGGGGCUAAUACCGGAUAGGAGCUCCUGCUGCAUGGUGGGGGUUGGAAAGUUUCGGCGGUUGGGGAUGGACUCGCGGCUUAUCAGCUUGUUGGUGGGGUAGUGGCUUACCAAGGCUUUGACGGGUAGCCGGCCUGAGAGGGUGACCGGCCACAUGGGGACUGAGAUACGGCCCAGACUCCUACGGGGGGCAGCAGUGGGGAAUAUUGCACAAGGGGCGGAAGCCUGAUGCAGCAACCCCGGGGGCGGGAUGACGGCCUUCGGGUUGUAAACCUCUUUCGCCUGUGACGAAGCGUGAGGGACGGUAAUGGGUAAAGAAGCACCGGCUAAUUACGU